rnacentral:lncRNA from 1 species
UCUUUUAUUUUUAUCACUAACAGAGAUAAUGUUUAUCAAGAACAGGUACUAUAUUAUUUGUAUUUUGAAUACCUAAUAUCUACUACCCGUUGUUCAGGUUUUACUUAUAACUUUUUACAUAGUGACAUUCUUGCAAACAAAUUCUUCAAAUCAUAAUGGAUACAAUAGUUACUGCCUUAACCUUUAUUGGUCCUCCCGAGCUCUUGCUUCUGCCACUCCUUCCUGAAGAUCUGGAGCAAUAACAAUAGCCUGCCUUACCCUUUGCUUCUUUGAAGUUCAGUGACAUAACACAGGUACUUAAAUAGCUCUGAAGCUUGGGAUACAACAGGUUCAGUUCCUGGAAUUCACAAAAACAUAUCAACAAAGAGUCUGCUGUUGUACAAAAAAUAAAGUUUUGAGAUCUAUUGACAAAAGAAGGAGGUACUACUGCUUGCCCUCCUCCUGUUCCCAUCGCACCAGUCAUCUGUCUGAUGCUGCAAGCAUCCUCUCUCUUUCUCUCUCUCUCUCUCUCUCUCUCUCUCUCUCUCUCUCUCUCUCUCUCUCUCUCUCCCUCCCUCCCUCUCUCCCUCUCUCUCUCUCUCUAAGUCUUCCCUAACACUGGGUGCUUUACUGCUCCCAGCACAUUUCCUGCCUUGCCCUAUAACAAGGUUUCCCCUUCUAAUAGUACUCUAAGCUAUUGCAACCCAUCUCCAGCAUCCUCUGAAAUUUAUGAGACAGAGGAUUUGUGGCAUUUACACAGGUGUUUCCAGUAUCAAGUGAAUCAAAAGCUGGGCCCUACUUGGAUGUCUUCUUGCUCUUGCUCAAGUAAGAUAUUCAAACAAAACAAACAAACAAAGAAACAAAUAAACCAACCUAAUGACCCAGCUCUGAAAACUGUCCAGUUGGCCUAGAGCAGCUAGGAAGAGGUGCUUUCUGUGUUGUGUGAAUGCAUUUUAGAAUCAGGUAGAAAUGAGCUUGAAUGCAGUUGGUUUGAGACAUUUCAUUGUCUUAGAUAAUAUAUGAGCUAAUUUGGACAUUAGUUUUUGCUUCUGGCACUUACAUUAGUAGGUUUUCAAUUCAUUGAGAUGGAGUGAACUUGAGAAAAUAUAUUUUUGUUGUUUUUCUUUCAACUUUUUCUUAGAGACUGACUUGCUUUCUCACAAAAUCGGUGUUAACGUCCUAGCAGUCCUAAUAUGUGAACAUUUUGAAGUGGCUCAAUCUUUCAUUCUUUUGUUUGCUUGUUUGUUUUUUUGUUUUUGUUUUUGUUUUUUGUUUUUUUUUUGAGACAGGGUAUCUCUGUGUAGCCCUGGCUGUCCUGGAACUCACUCUGUAAACCAGGCUGGCCUCAAACUCAGAAAUCCACCUGUCUCUGCCUCCCAAGUGCUGGGAUUAAAGGCAUGCGCCACCACUCCCCGGCUUUCAAUCUUUCAUUCUUGCAGCUUACACUUUGUCACCAGAUCUCACAACGUUAAUUUCUCUGCAAUAGCAAAUGUAGAGGGAAUAUCUUCUGUAUUGUAUGGAAACAUUACCUAUCAAUUAAAAAUCCCAUGGCCUAUAGGAAAGGGUGGCAUAGAAGUCAGGACACCUGAGAGGCAAAAAGAAUUCUGAGUUAGAGCUCUAAUCUAAGCUGAAAUAAACCUGUCUUCCCCAAAUUCUUUUAAGUCAUACUCUUUAUCACAAUAAACAGCAAAAGAAAAUAGUUUUUUCAGGGAUCCAGGUUUGAUUCCUGGCACCCACAUUUGGUGGAUCACAAUUGCCUUUAACUACACCCCAUAGGAUCUGGUGACUUCAUCUGGUUCCUGGUCACAUCUGCACUCAUGUAUCUAGCAUGUCCAUGUAGAUACACAUAUAAAAAUGUGUCUUUAAACAUAUAGUAAGGAGCAAAUGUAUUUUUGUUAUGGCUCAGGCUGUUUGAGUCAUAAACAUGUUCUUAUAAAGACUGAUGUAGAGGUCAAUAGACACAAAAUUUUAGAAUUUGUAACCAUAAAUCUAGAGGUAUGUGAAUGAAGGGAGAAUUUGUCCAUUGCAAAAGCAGAGGCAUAGGGGUUAUGGUGCCUGAGAGAGAUCAUAUAUAUUUUAAAGUGAGAUUAAUUUGUUAAUUUCAUUAGAAGUAUUUAUUCUGUUAGACUGAGUACUAGGCUUUAGUCACAAUGAUGAGUGGAAUAUGCAAAUUCCUUUGCUCCCAACAUUUGCAUUCUACUUUAGAAAAGAUGGAUUGUGAACAAGCAAAUAAAUGAUUUGUGCAGUGUCUUUAAAUAUUAUAAGUACUGGGUUGCCCAGUAUGGAAAUCAGUUGCUGUGCAAAUAUAGGAACCUGAGUUUGGAUACCCAGAAUGCAUAUAAGGCUAAAUUUGAUAAUGCACAUCUGUAAGCCCUGUGGUCCUAUGAUGAAAUUGGAGACAGAAACAGGAGAAUCCUGGAGAGUUUGCAGUGUAGCUAAUCUAGGACACACAUAGGUACGUGACCUGAAGCCCCUUCUCAAGCAAGGUAGAAGGCAAGGAUUGACACUUAAGCUUGUCCUGUGACCUCUACACGUGCACUGUUUACAUCCACUCAUAGGGCACAAACACACUGUAUACACAUACUGCAUAUACAAACAUCAUACACAUCUAAUAUAUAUACACACUACAAGCAUACUACAUAUGCAUACACUGUACACAAAAUGCAUAUAUACACUAUACACACAUCAUACAUAUGUAUUCAUUAUAUACAGAUGAGGAGAGGGUUAUAAAAGAGAGUGGAAGAAUUGAGUAUGAUCCGAAUGCAUAUAGAUAUGUAUGGAAUUGUCAAAGAACAAAUCUAAUUG